CAGCAGUAGCCACGGUAAUACGAAGGGUGCAAGCGUUAAUCGGAAUUACUGGGCGUAAGGCGUGCGUAGGCGGUUUGUUAAGUCUGUUGUGAAAUCCCCGGGCUCAACCUGGGAAUGGCAAUGGAUACUGGCAAGCUAGAGUGUGUCAGAGGAUGGUGGAAUUCCCGGUGUAGCGGUGAAAUGCGUAGAGAUCGGGAGGAACAUCAGUGGCGAAGGCGGCCAUCUGGGACAACACUGACGCUGAGGCACGAAAGCGUGGGGAGCAAACAGGAUUAGAUACCCCCGUAGUCCCUGUCUCUUAUAC
rnacentral:rRNA from 1 species